rnacentral:misc_RNA from 1 species
AAGUCGUAACAAGGUAUCCGUAGGUGAACCUGCGGAUGGAUCAUUACCAAAGGAUUCAAAUCCAAUGUAUUGUGAACUGUAUUGACUACACGGUCAGUGGCAUCAUCAUCGCUGCUGCUGGCCGUACAAACAAACGUAUUAUUCACAACUGACGUCUAUUUAGUAGUGUAACAACUAUGUCAAAACUAAAUAACUUUUAGCAAUGGAUCUCUUGGCUCUC